UCAGUCGACUCCUACGGGGAGGCAGCAGUGGGGGAAUAUUGCACAAUGGGCGCAAGCCUGAUGCAGCCAUGCCGCGUGUGUGAAGAAGGACCUUCGGGUUGUAAAGCACUUUCAGUCGUGAGGAAGGUAGUGUAGUUAAUAGCUGCAUUAUUUGACGUUAGCGACAGAAGAAGCACCGGCUAACUCCGUGCCAGCAGCCGCGGUAAUACGGAGGGUGCGAGCGUUAAUCGGAAUUACUGGGCGUAAAGCGCAUGCAGGUGGUUUGUUAAGUCAGAUGUGAAAGACCCGGGGCUCAACCUCGGAAUAGCAUUUGAAACUGGCAGACUAGAGUACUGUAGAGGGGGGUAGGAAUUUCAGGUGUAGCGGUGAAAUGCGUAGAGAUCUGAAGGAAUACCGGUGGCGAAGGCGGCCCCCUGGACAGAUACUGACACUCAGAUGCGAAAGCGUGGGGAGCAAACAGGAUUAGAUACCCUGGUAG
rnacentral:rRNA from 1 species